rnacentral:lncRNA from 1 species
AAUUAGCAUCUGCAGUAUAAGAUUUGACCUCUCAUGGUGAGGAGCCUUCCCCUCUGUCCCCUAAGCCAGAGUGACUCUCUCCCCAGUCAAGGCUCUUAAGAGCCCAGACUGAUUCACAAAAGCUGACUACUGCAUAGUUCAUCUGGAGUAAUAUAUACCUAAGUUUCUCUUCAAAAUUACUUCCAAGCUUUUUUAAGACUCCGUCUUGAUCCAGUUCUCACUCUGGAAUAACCCAUGUUUUGCAGCAUGAAAACCACAUUGUUUUCAUGGAGAAGGGAGUUGAGUACCUGCAUUCUAGCUGCUGGCAGACCCAUCUAGUGAUUAUAACAGGACCAUCUCCUCUGAAUCACAUCCUAGGAGCCAGUCUUCUAAGGGUCCCAGCACAUGGCUGUUCUGCCUUUUUACGGGUUUAUUAAAAACCAGUUCAUUCUGCUCUGGCCCCCUGAAGAACUGUACAAUCUAUUUCUCAGUCCAAGUACCCUGUACCUGUUUUUGUCCUACUGGCAAUCUUACCUUUAAGAUAUUCACAUUUUAGUUCUUAUAUGCUCCAACUUCCU